rnacentral:lncRNA from 1 species
CCAAGCGUCUUCCUUUUGCAUGCACACACACACACACACACACACACACACACACACAGAGCAUGUUACCAACAGCUUUUUAUUUAACUUUCUCCCUGCCCAGAGCUUCUCUUCACUGACUGUCUGGGACAAGCCAGCGCCGUGGAGCUGUCUCUUUUUCAUUUCUCAGCCUCACUGGCCAUUCCAGGUAUCUGCUGAUGGGGCUCUUGGCCCUUAUAGCCAAGCUGCCCAAGACUUGACUUGCUCUUUUUACCAAAAAAAAAAAAAAAAACUAUUUCCACUAAACCACUGAGCAUUUCAUAUGUCGUAAUUUUAAAGCCACUUCUUUACUCAUUUCUUCCGUUUAUUUGCCUAGUCCUCAAGAAAUAUUUGCUUGAUGUGACUUCUUGGAACCAAAUGUUGGUACCCAACUGAAAGGGAUGGAGCCCUCCGAACUUGGAAGUUCCGCUGAGGAUGAGGGCGGCCGCCAUUUUGAAACGAACAGACUCCAAAAGCACGCUCCACUGGGCCUGCCCCUGCGAUCUUAAAACAGAUGUCCGUGAAAUGUGACCCAUGAAUAGCAGUUAUCUGGAGAGAGAGCUCUGAAGCUGAUGAAACCAUUAGAGCCACUGAAGGCACCUGGUAAAUGCGAUGCGGGGAGUACAGAAGAGAGAAUCAGAAACACACCGGCACUCUCAUUCCCAUGAGGCCACUUACAGUGGGUAAAACGUCGCUUGAGAAGAGCGGCAGCUCCAGCCUGAAUGAGAAGCACGUCCUCCUGGGAGUUACGUCAGCAGCCUGACCUUCCAUCUUCCUCCUCUAAAGAAGCGUCCCUGCCACCCUGAGCACGAAGCCCUCGGGUUCCUAAAGGCCGAGGCGCUUCUUCUCAUUUACUUCCCUUGAGGAAGAAAGACCAGCCCAUCCACCCUCAUUUCCCACCGAAGGGCAUCGCAAAUAAAGUUUGCCCACGCAACCAGGCCACCACCAUUAAUUUCUCUCUGCCCUGCUCUUACAUUCUCCUCAAGGUUUUCAGUCCCCUAGAGAGGCUCCCUUCCCUCUUUUCUUUCCUUCCUCCAGCCCCCCUUUUCACCUCCCUCCACCAUUGUUUGAGGUUAAGAAGCAUGCUACGGUGUUCUAUAAAUCACUUGGCAAGAGUAGACGACAAAAGCAAAAUAUAAUUCAGAUUAAAGUCAUCCUCCCGCUGAAAUGAUAGUUUCUUAAAUAAAUGGCGAUGCUGCCUAUCAAUCUUGCUGGCAACUGGUCCUCUCAUAUUCAUCUUUCUGGGGGUGAUUUAGGAUCCACCUGGGUCCUCCGAGAAGAUUCUCCCAUCAUUUCCUUCCCGUCUCUCUGGAUCUUGCUGCUGGGCUUGGCGCAGUUGACAAAUUCUCCAAGUAAUCCCUCAAAAGAUUGGAGAAAUGCUCCGAACGCUCCAUUAAACUUAUUUUCCAUGCUUUAAGAGACCCAAAACUAUGUCCAAUAAAUAAGUGUUCCCUGUGA